rnacentral:rRNA from 1 species
UUCCGGUUGAUCCUGCCGGAGGUUACUGCUAUCGAGGUUCGACUAAGCCAUGCGAGUCGAAUGUAGCAAUACAUGGCGAACUGCUCAGUAACACGUGGACAACCUGCCCUUAGGACGGGGAUAAACCCGGGAAACUGGGUAUAAUACCCGAUAGGUCUCGAUUGCUGGAAUGCAUCGAGAUUUAAAGCUCCGGCGCCUAAGGAUGGGUCUGCGGCCUAUCAGGUAGUAGUGGGUGUAGCGUACCUACUAGCCUACGACGGGUACGGGUUGUGAGAGCAAGAGCCCGGAGAUGGAUUCUGAGACACGAAUCCAGGCCCUACGGGGUGCAGCAGGCGCGAAAACUUUACAAUGCUGGCAACAGCGAUAAGGGAACCUCGAGUGCCAGGUUACAAAUCUGGCUGUCGAGAUGCCUAAAAAGCAUUUCAUAGCAAGGGCCGGGCAAGACCGGUGCCAGCCGCCGCGGUAACACCGGCGGCUCGAGUGGUAACCGUUAUUAUUGGGUCUAAAGGGUCUGUAGCCGGCCGGAUAAGUCUCUUGAGAAAUCUGGCAGCUUAACUGUCAGGCUUUCAGGAGAUACUGUCUGGCUCGAGGCCGGGAGAGGUGAGAGGUACUUCAGGGGUAGGGGUGAAAUCUUGUAAUCCUUGAAGGACCACCAGUGGCGAAGGCGUCUCACCAGAACGGACCUGACGGCAAGGGACGAAAGCUAGGGGCACGAACCGGAUUAGAUACCCGGGUAGUCCUAGCCGUAAACGAUACUCGCUAGGUGUCGGCCACGGUGCGACCGUUGUCGGUGCCGUAUGGAAGCCGUGAAGCGAGCCACCUGGGAAGUACGGCCGCAAGGCUGAAACUUAAAGGAAUUGGCGGGGGGAGCACCACAACGGGUGGAGCUCGCGGUUUAAUUGGAGUCAAC